rnacentral:rRNA from 1 species
AGCAGUAGCCGCGGGAAUACAGAGGGUGCAAGCGUUAAUCGGAAUUACUGGGCGUAAAACGCGCGUAGGUGGUUCGCCAAGUUGGAUGUGAAAUCCCCGGGCUCAACCUGGGAACUGCAUCCAAAACUGGCGAGCUAGAGUAUGGUAGAGGGUGGUGGAAUUUCCUGUGUAGCGGUGAAAUGCGUAGAUAUAGGAAGGAACAUCAGUGGCGAAGGCGACCACCUGGACUGAUACUGACACUGAGGUGCGAAAGCGUGGGGAGCAAACAGGAUUAGAUACCCCUGUAGUCCCUGUCUCUUAUAC